UGAACUUAUUGAAUUCUCUCCUACCUUCCACCUUAAACUUUUGCUUAUAUUAUACGCUUAUGAAUAUUCAUUCAUUGGUCAAUUAAUUUUUUUUUUUUGCAAAUCCUCUAAUACGUAGAUAAUUUAAAUUUAAAUCAGUUUAUAUGUGUUAAACGGUUUUUUUUUCUGUAUCUAAGGGUUUAAAAUCGUUUUAAUGUAAUUUUGUAUAAACAUUGAAACGGGCCACCGAUUUUCUCAAAUUUCUUGUACAUGUAAAAUUUAAAUUUAAAAAAAAACCAGACGUACAUAUAGUAUUAAAUUGUUAGUAAAAAUGUACUAUGAAAUAAAAAAAUAUGUUUAGCUAUAUAUUUCUAUACGUUAUAUUUGGUUUUCUUGUAUAUUCGGUAAUAUUUUUUGUUUUUAUUACGUAUUUCACACAGAUUAUUGAUGAUAAAAAUACGAUAUUUUCAAAAUGUCUGCCAAAGCUGUAAAAUAUAGGUGCUAAACAUCAAAAAUCUUCUGCCAACUUUAUAUCGUAUAAAAAAACAUACGCAUAUCUAAAAUAACAUUUAUAUUUAUGUUUAUUCUUAACAAAAUAAUAUAUGACGUACGAGUACAUAAUCAAAGUAUCGUUUCAAAGGGUAUUUCUUAUUGCAUAUCUAUAUUUAAUCUUAUUUAACGUAUUAAAAAGAAAAUU